rnacentral:rRNA from 1 species
UGGGGAAUAUUGCACAAUGGGGGAAACCCUGAUGCAGCGACGCCGCGUGGAGGAAGAAGGUCUUCGGAUUGUAAACUCCUGUCGUUGGGGACGAUAAUGACGGUACCCAACAAGAAAGCCACGGCUAACUACGUGCCAGCAGCCGCGGUAAAACGUAGGUGGCAAGCGUUGUCCGGAAUUACUGGGUGUAAAGGGAGCGCAGGCGGAAGGACAAGUUGGAAGUGAAACCCACGGGCUCAACCCGUGAACUGCUUUCAAAACUGUUUUUCUUGAGUGGUGUAGAGGUAGGCGGAAUUCCCGGUGUAGCGGUGGAAUGCGUAGAUAUCGGGAGGAACACCAGUGGCGAAGGCGGCCUACUGGGCACUAACUGACGCUGAGGCUCGAAAGCAUGGGUAGCAAACAGG